rnacentral:ncRNA from 1 species
GAGAGCCGGAUGCGGGAGAUCCGCACGUCCGGUUCGGAGGGAGGGGUGAGGUUCAAUCCCUCAUUCCUACCCCUAU